CGAAAUAUCAUGCUUGGCAUGCAAAGAAAGGGUUGUCUAUUUGAAGAUGUUAAAUUGGUGGACAUGGAAGUCAUAGAAUGUUUUAGAUUAUUAUUUUGUACUGGUUUUCUUUUCUUUUCUUUUUUUGUUUUGAAAGACACUUUAGUUGUACCGUCUUUUAGGUAAAAUUUGAUUUUAUUUGUUUAUUUGAACAAAUUUUGUUAAUUAUGUUAAAUUGGAAAUAAUGAAUUCAG
rnacentral:lncRNA from 1 species